GAGGAAUAUUGCGCAAUGGACGAAAGUCUGACGCAGCCACGCCGCGUGGAGGAAGACGGCCCUAUGGGUUGUAAACUCCUUUUGACAGGGAAGAGAAGAGGGAUUCGUCCUUUGGAAGACGGUACCUGUCGAA
rnacentral:rRNA from 1 species